rnacentral:rRNA from 1 species
GACGAACGCUGGCGGCGUGCUUAACACAUGCAAGUCGAACGGAAAGGCCCUGCUUUUGUGGGGUGCUCGAGUGGCGAACGGGUGAGUAACCCGUGAGUAACCUGCCCUUGACUUUGGGAUAACUUCAGGAAACUGGGGCUAAUACCGGAUAGGAGCUCCUGCUGCAUGGUGGGGGUUGGAAAGUUUCGGCGGUUGGGGAUGGACUCGCGGGUUAUCAGCUUGUUGGUGGGGUAGUGGCUUACCAAGGCUUUGACGGGUAGUCGGCCUGAGUGGGUGACCAGCCACAUGGGGACUAAGAGACGGCCCAGACGCCAACGGUGGGCAGCAGUGGGAAAUAUUGCACAAUGGGCGGAAGCCUGAUGCAGCAACGCCGCGUGCGGGAUGACGGCCUUCGGGUUAUAAACCGCUUUCGCCUAUGACGAAGCUUGAGUGACGGUAAUGGGUAAAGAAGCACCGGCUAACUACGUG